UACGGAAGGGGCAAGCGUUGUUCGGAAUCAUUGGGCGUAAAGGGCGCGUAGGUGGUUCUGUAUGUCUACCGUGAAAGCAUACAGCUCAACUGUAUUUUGUCGGUAGAAACUGCAGGACUUGAGGCUGGGAGGGGCUGGUGGAAUUCCCUGUGUAGCGGUGAAAUGCGUAGAGAUGGGGGAGAACACUCGUGGCGAAGGCGGCCAGCUGGACCAGUUCUGACACUGAGGCGCGACAGCGUGGGGAGCAAACAGG
rnacentral:rRNA from 1 species